rnacentral:lncRNA from 1 species
UGGAGAUUCACUGUCUUGUGGCUUACAUGUUGAAGCUUUGUUCUUGAGUGGUGGAUGCUCGUGGUUCUUUGUGGAGCUCUUCUCUCACCUCCAAUAAUUUAGACCGUCAAUGCCUUCUCACUUAUUCUGGCUUCUCUUACCGUCUUGCAUCGCAUCAUUAUUAUCAGUCUACAUGGUCCAGAAAGUCUUGUUUAAUCUUGUUCUCUCCUUGGCUUUUGUUAAUUAGUCGCUCUGUAGAGUCUUUCUAUGUAUCCAGCCGCUAGACCCUGAGAAUUACAUUAGCAAUCCCCAAUUCCAAAGGCAAGAAACUUGUUCGAACAGUGCAAGUAGGUAACUUCGACUCGGUGUCGUUGAUAACUACCAUACCUUGCACUUUUUUCCACCAGCUACCAAAGCACGGGAAAUCGGCCAAUUCAUACGUCAACAAGAGCUAACGGUCCCGAUCAGUACAUAAACACCUUACCUAUGCGAAAACAUACAUAAACUAGUAUAAAAUUCAAUUUUCCAUUCAUAAAAUUACAAAAUUGGGUUUUAACAUACAUUGACCUGAUUUCCGUUAGUCAAACAUUACGGAAUAAGAGUUUUCGUUAACCGGUAACAUCAAAUUGGCCAAUUCCUACAUCAACAGGGGUCAUAAACACUUUACAUGUGCGAAAACAUACAUACUGGUAGAACUCAUCGUCAAACCCAACUCGUGAAUCAUUUUCUCCAACAUAAAGUUAUGUGUCGCGCCGCUGUGAAUAAGCACUACGACCGCCGUAUUCCCCAGAGCUUCAUCAUUCUCGGAGAUGUUAAUCCCACCACAAAGUUAAGAGACACCUCCGCCACCCUCGCUUCCACUCCUUCGUCGCCUUCCUCGAGCUCACACGGUUCCUCCAACAACUCAUCCUUGUCUCCGUUCACAUGUAGGAGCAAGACCUUAAGCUGAGCUUGAGGACACUGAUGAUUCGGGUGGAAUUUCUCAUCGCACUUGAAACAUAAACCCUCGGCCUUCCAUCUCUCCACCUCCGCCUGCGUAAACCUCCGGAAUGGAGGUUUCAAUCUUCCGUGAGACGGCUAAACCCUAUUUCCGUUGCCACGCUGGUUGGAGUUUUCUGGAUUAGUUUGGGUCUUGGGCUUAGUUUGUGUUUGGGUCUGCGUGUAACCUGUGUUAGUGGGCCUGUGCGACGGUUGCUGACUUCUGUAAUAUCAAUCUAUACAUCCUCCACAAUUGAUUGAGAUGGCUCCAGGUCCAGAUCCGAACAGCGUUGGUGAUGGUGCGAAGAGGGAUGAAGCUACGACCAAGGUUCCUUCUAAGGAUCCCAAGAUUACCAUCUUCUUGCUCAUUCUACUGUGUAUGGAUUAAAGAUCGCUUUUUAUGUAUCUGCAGAAAUUGCUGGCUGAUAUACUAUGUCUGUCUUGGCACUGAUCAUGUCUGCUGAGGGUCAAAGGGUAUGUGCUUUCGUGCUAUUAUAGUAGGAAUUGAUAAAAACUUAACUUUCUGUGUGUUUCACCUUAUGAUAUACCUUAAAACAGUGUUGUGUUUUUUGGUUCUUUGCUAGAAUUUGAGGUAGUUUUUGGUGCUUGACUUUGCAAAUUGGCCAAUUCCUACAUCAACAGGGGUCAUAAACACUUUACAUGUGCGAAAACAUACAUACUGGUAGAACUCAUCGUCAAACCCAACUCGUGAAUCAUUUUCUCCAACAUAAAGUUAUGUGUCGCGCCGCUGUGAAUAAGCACUACGACCGCCGUAUUCCCCAGAGCUUCAUCAUUCUCGGAGAUGUUAAUCCCACCACAAAGUUAAGAGACACCUCCGCCACCCUCGCUUCCACUCCUUCGUCGCCUUCCUCGAGCUCACACGGUUCCUCCAAC